rnacentral:tRNA from 1 species
CAGGGAAUAGUUUAUUAGAAUAUUAAUUUUGGGGAUUAAUGGAGAGUAAUUAUUUAUUCUUCUCUGA